rnacentral:rRNA from 1 species
CCUACGGGCGGCAGCAGUAGGGAAUAUUGCUUAAUGGGCGAAAGCCUGAAGCAGCAACGCCGCGUGUGCGAUGACGGCCUUCGGGUUGUAAAGCACUUUUUGAGUGGAUGAGGAAGGACAGUACCCUCAGAAUAAUCCUCGGCUAACUACGUGCCAGCAGCCGCGGUAACACGUAGGAGUCAAGCGUUAUUCGGAUUUAUUGGGCGUAAAGCGCGUGCAGGCGGUUUGGAAAGUUGGAUGUGAAAGCUCCCGGCUUAACUGGGAGAGGUCGUUCAAUACUUCCAGACUCGAGUAUGGGAGAGGGAGGGGGAAUUCCGGGUGUAGUGGUGAAAUGCGUAGAUAUCCGGAGGAACACCAGUGGCGAAAGCGGCCUCCUGGUCCAUUACUGACGCUCAGACGCGAAAGCUAGGGUAGCAAACGGGAUUAGAUACCCGGGUAGUC